UACGUAGGGUGCAAGCGUUAAUCGGAAUUACUGGGCGUAAAGCGUGCGCAGGCGGCUGUGCAAGACAGAGGUGAAAUCCCCGGGCUCAACCUGGGAACUGCCUUUGUGACUGCACGGCUAGAGUACGGCAGAGGGGGAUGGAAUUCCGCGUGUAGCAGUGAAAUGCGUAGAUAUGCGGAGGAACACCGAUGGCGAAGGCAAUCCCCUGGGCCUGUACUGACGCUCAUGCACGAAAGCGUGGGGAGCAAACAGG
rnacentral:rRNA from 1 species